UUUUCGUGUCCCGCGCUCGCCCCCUGCUUUUUGGAAAAAAAAAUUCAAACCUUUUUUUUUCCUUUCUCCGUGGCCUUCCCUUUCUUUCUUCAAUUCUUUCUUGUUCUUCUUUUCUUUUAUUCUUCACUUUUCUUUCUCUCUUUUCCCGGCAAGAUCCGCAUAGUCUCCAGAAUCCCAGAUGAACAUCUUCGACGUAGGUGGUUAUUCAUUGGACAUCCAUUGGAGACCCAUAUGCUAAUGUUGGUGAUGCUGGGCUUGGUUUUGACAGUGAAGAAGCUGCAAAGUCGUUUGCAGAAAGGCAUGGUUGGGAAUAUGUGUGACUAAGGUGGUUCCUGCUAUGUCGGAGGAUGUGAAAGAAGCUUUGGUAAAAAAAUAUUAGGAGAAGGAUGACCCCACAACUAUUGAAGACUCGGGCUGACAUUGAAAUGAAAUGCUUCCAGUUUGAUGUUGUUCUUCACAUCAAGGAUUCCAUGCGGAAAGCUGAAGCUGCUGGCAAUGAUGAAUGUCCCUGCAGGAUUUCAUGUGCACUUUAUGUUCUUACCACAUAGACUCUUGACACGGUUUUGUGCAAACCCUCACAUGAGUGUUUAUUUGAUAUUUAUUUUUAGCCAUGUAUCCUAUACAAAAUGAGGGAAAUGUGAUUGUUAUUUAAACAAGUCAGCUAAUUCAAUACGGUGUGCAUCUUUGUAAACUUUACUUGAGGCAAGGAAAUGUCUUGCUUCAUACUUGCCAGUUAAAAAAAAGGAAGAAA